AUACCUUUCUCGGCCUUUUGGCUAAGAUCAAGUGUAGUAUCUGUUCUUAUCAGUUUAAUAUCUGAUAUGUGAGUCAUCGAUUCACACGAUAUUAACUUUAUUUUUUAAGAGGGAAAGAUCACCACGGUAGCUUGCUAUUGGGGCCUUCAAGUGUCGUCUUGGCGUUGCACUGUUGCCUUUGGCCUGGCGCACCCCAC